rnacentral:rRNA from 2 species
GAAAGUAAUGAAGGGCGUACGGUGGAUGCCUAGGCUCUUACAGGCGAUGAAGGACGUGAUAAGCUGCGAAAAGCCGCGGUGAGGCGCAAAUGGCCCUUGACCCGCGGAUCUCCGAAUGGGACAACCCAAUAUCUUGAAGAGAUAUUAUCCCGCCGGUGCGGGAGGCGAACGCGGGGAACUGAAACAUCUUAGUACCCGCAGGAAAAGAAAAUAAAGAAUGAUUCCCCCAGUAGUGGCGAGCGACCGGGGAAGAGCCCAAACCGACGUUGUCUCGGCAUCGUCGGGGUUGUAGGACCGCGCCAUCGCAAGAAAGGCCGUGAGUGGAAGCGACUGGAAAGCCGCGCCAUAGAGGGUGACAGCCCCUUACACGAAGCAGCCUGAAGCGUAGCGGACUCCUGAGUAGCGCGGGACACGAGUAAUCCUGUGUGAAUCCGCCGGGCCCAUCCGGCAAGGCUAAAUACUCGUAAGAGACCGAUAGUGAACCAGUACCGUGAGGGAAAGGUGAAAAGGACCCCUUGCAGGGGAGUGAAAGAGUUCCUGAAACCGUACGCCUACAAGCGGUCGGAGCAUCUUGAAUGAUGUGACGGCGUGCCUUUUGCAUAAUGAACCUACGAGUUGCCGUCACCAGCGAGGUUAAGUGCGACGACGCACCGAGCCGCAGCGGAAGCGAGUCUUAAAAGGGCGCGAUAGUUGGUGGAGGCAGACGCGAAACCGAGUGAUCUACACUUGUCCAGGAUGAAGUCCCGGUAACACGGGAUGGAGGUCCGCACCAAUAAGCGUUGAAAAGCUUCUGGAUGAGGUGAGUGUAGGAGUGAAAGGCCAAUCAAACUCGGAGAUAGCUCGUACUCCCCGAAAGGCAUUUAGGUGCCGCCUGUGGCGUUCCCGACGUGAGGUAGAGCGACUGAUAGGAUGCGAGGGCUUCACCGCCUAUCAAGUCCUGACAAACUCCGAAUGCACGUCGGCCAAGCCAUGGAGUAAGGGCAUGGGUGCUAAGGUCCGUGCCCGAGAGGAGAAGAAUCCAGACCACCGGCUAAGGUCCCGAAAUACUGGUUAAGUUAGACUAACGCAGUCCGGCCCCCAAGACAGCUAGGAUGUUGGCUUGGAAGCAGCCAUUCAUUCAAAGAGUGCGUAACAGCUCACUAGUCGAGGAGCUGGGCGUGGAUAAUAAUCGGGUAUAAAACCAGUUACCGAAGCCGUGGGAUGCUCAAGCAUCGGUAGGGGAGCAUUGCAUGCGGCUUGGAAGGCGGGGCGCGAGCCCCUCUGGAGCGCAUGGAAACGCAAAUGUAGGUAUAAGUAACGACAAGGGGGGUGGGAUGCCCCCCCGCCGAAAGACCAAGGUUUCCUGAACAACGCUAAUCGGUUCAGGGUCAGUCGGGUCCUAAGCAUAAGCCGUAUGGCGAGGGCGAUGGAUGAAACGGUUAAUAUUCCGUUACUGUCUUGGUGUGUGACGCGGCGACGGAGUAGUGACACGGCCGCCUCCUGACGGAAAAGGGGGUUGAAGCGCAAAGGUGUCGAGGAAGGCAGGCAAAUCCACCUUCCGAGCCGAAGCGCGAUAGUACGCUGCGCCCUUUGGGGCAAGGCGAUAGUGCCGGUAAUCAGACUUCCAAGAAAACCCGCUAAACUUCAGCACCAAGUCACCCGUACUCCAAACGGACACACGUGGUCGGGUAGAAUAUACUAAGGCGCUUGGGAGAUUCACGGUUAAGGAACUAGGCAAAUUGACCCCGUACCUUCGGAAUAAGGGGUCCUCGCUUUUGCGAGGCGCAGAGAAUAGGUCCAGGCAACUGUUUAACAAAAACACAGGGCUGUGCCAAUUUGAAAGAAGAAGUAUACAGCCUGACACCUGCCCGGUGCCGGAAGGUUAAGAGGAGAGCUCAUCAGCGAUGAGAAGGCUUGAAUUGAAGCCCCGGUAAACGGCGGCCGUAACUAUAACGGUCCUAAGGUAGCGAAAUUCCUUGUCGGGU